AUGUUAUUCGCUGACGACAGCAUAGUGUUCUUAGAAGGAUCCCAAGAUAACUUGACAGCCCUAAAAGAGAUUUUACAGAGGUACGAAGCAGCAUCCGGGCAGAAAGUUAACCUGCAAAAAUCAGCUAUAUUCUUUAGGAAGGGAUGUGCGGAGGAAGAAAAAGGACCACUUAAGCGAGUCAUUGGGAUCCAAACUGAGGCGCUUAGUGAGAGGUACCCUGGUCUACCCACAGUGGUUGGGAGUUCAAAGGACGGAACUUUUAAAUAUGUU
rnacentral:rRNA from 1 species